rnacentral:rRNA from 1 species
UUAGUGGCAGACGGGUGAGUAAUGCAUAGGAAUCUACCUAGUAGUACGGGAUAGCCACUAGAAAUGGUGGGUAAUACUGUAUAAUCCCUGCGGGGGAAAGAUUUAUCGCUAUUAGAUGAGCCUAUGUUAGAUUAGCUAGUUGGUAGGGUAAAGGCCUACCAAGGCAGUGAUCUAUAGCUGGUCUGAGAGGAUGAUCAGCCACACUGGAACUGAGAUACGGUCCAGACUCCUACGGGAGGCAGCAGUGGGGAAUAUUGGACAAUGGGCGCAAGCCUGAUCCAGCUAUGCCGCGUGAGUGAGGAAGGCCUUAGGGUUGUAAAACUCUUUCAGUGGGGAAGAUAAUGACGGUACCCACAGAAGAAGUCCCGGCAAACUCCGUGCCAGCAGCCGCGGUAAUACGGAGGGGGCAAGCGUUGUUCGGAAUUAUUGGGCGUAAAGGGCAUGUAGGCGGUUCGGUAAGUUAAAGGUGAAAUGCCAGGGCUUAACCCUGGAGCUGCU